GAAAAACACAGAAAUUCUUCAUCAAGAAAUAAGGUCUUGGAAAAGAGCAUUUCAAGUUUAAGAAUUUUUAGAGGAAAGCGUCCUCUUCUUUUAUUGUUUCCGAGCCAUUGGUUCAUCAGAGUUCGCGGUAGCUCAUUUCCUAGUGGUGAGAAGUCUUCUCUAGAGCUCAUCUUCUGGUGGUAAGAAAUCUUCAAGCUCGUUUUUUCAGUUUGCUACACAAAAAGAGAUGUUCCUUGUGUUCACCCCGAAAUUGAGCUUCUUUCUCCUUUUGCUUUUGGUAAUCAACUGUUUGCAUCCUCUCUGUCAAGGAUUAGAGUCGUGUGUUCCAGCUCCGAGGCUCUGUGGGGAUUAGCAGUGCCAUGAAUGCGGUUGAUGUGAGAUGCACAACAGAAGGUGUGCUACGGAACUCCAUCACCUGUUACAAUGUGGCCGAGGUUAUAAGUGAAAGAGAUAUGAGACAAUCCAUGAUUAAGACAUCGCUUGGGAGCUUAAUGUACAGUUCCCAGGUAAUA